AGCUUCUACAUAUUCUUUUAUGGUAGUCAGAUCUGAUUCUUUUCCCUUGGAGGAAGGAGCAAUAAUAUCAACUUGGUCGAUUGCAUGAAUACUUGUGUUAGCACAUAAAUAUAUCAUCCAAUUCAGAGAGUGGAACUUUCACUCCUAGUUCUUCCAUUGACGUGACGCCAUAAUCUUGCAGUCCACAAGGAAUAAUACCCUUAUAAUGAGAGAGGUCUGGAAAGACGUUAAGCGCUAUGCCAUGAUAAGUUACCCAUUUUCUUAAACGGAUACCAAAAGCUGCAAUUUUUUUUUCUACUCCAUUGUUAUUCACCCAAACACCUAUUCUAUCCUCUUUAAAUUCUCCAAGUAUAUUAAAUUGCUUUAAAACAUUUAUUAUCCACUUACUUAGGUCUCUAAUAUAUAGCUUUAUGUCGCAUUUAUUUCUUUUUUUAAGGUUUAACAUUAAAUAUAUGAUGCGCUGUCCUGGACCAUGAUAUGUGUAUUUGCCACCCCUGCCUGUUUUAUAUAUAGGAAAUAAUUUUUCAACAACGUCGUCAUCUGUUGCACUGAUUCCUGCAGUAUAAAGUGGAGGGUGCUGGAGUAGCCAUACUAAUUCGUCUGCUGAAUUAUUGUGAAUUUGUUGAAUUUUCUCUUCCAUAGAUUUUACGGCACAGUUAUAAUCAAUAAGCUGAUUAGAUAUUAGCCAUUCUGUCAUGUUCAAUUUCUUUUCUUUUUAGUAUAGCAGUGCGUUCUUUUCCUGUCAUCCCAGUGUGUGACACUGGGCGCAGCCUUUCUUAUUCCUAAUAUACUUAAUACUAACUUCUGUGCUAUUUCUCCUUAACAAACAUAGUACAUGACAAAUGUUUAAUUAUUUGUCAACACAGGUCCUCUUUACGUAUAGGCAACUUUUUUUAUUGAAAAAUUCAGAAAAAUGUUGUAUAAUUAUUAGUAGAUUUUAGAGUGUCUUGCUGGACUGGCUAAAAUAAGAAAUAAGUCCAUUAAAGAACUAGCAGAGAAGCUAAUACAAGAAGCAAUUGAAAAUGAGGAAGAUAAAAUACUAAUUGAGCGUGCUGCUAGACGUAAUGUUUCAGGUGUGAAGAAAAUUAGAAGUGAGGAUGUAGACUGGAAUACAAUAUUAUCUUCAUAGAAAGCGUUCUUGAGAAAGACCUUCCAGCUCUUCCAAAAACAAUAAGAUUAAGGAUCAUAAAUGCGAUAAAUAAGCGCCUUACAGUUGAUCCCAUUAACCUUGGUGAGCCAUUAUAUUACAGAUUUAAAGGACAAAGAAGAUUAAGGGUAGGUGAUUAUCGCGUUAUCUAUUCCGUAAAUAUUAUAAAAUAUGAAGUGGUUAUCACAGAGAUAGGACACAGAAAAGAUAUUUAUAAGUGGCUUCGCUCAGCUCAAAAAAAAAGCUCAUUCUUUUUGCUACCCCUUAUUGUGCCUGCCAUUUAACUACUGUGUAGAGAUUGCUCUCAAACAUAAUGUUCGUACGAGGCACAUAUGAAUUUCAACAUCUUUCAAAGAAAAAAAAGCGCAGUAUUUACUAAAUAUUCUGCUUUGCAGCUAAUGAUGGAGCCAAGUUGGAGUAAGCGUGAUUAUGGGAAAUGUCCUGCAAUCCAGCAAUCGGAGGAGUUGCAAAGGGUGUUGUAGUCAGGGAAGUUGACGCUCUUGAUGGAAUAAUGGGAAGAGCAAUCGACCGAGCAAGCAUACACUCAGUCAUUUUAAAUAGCAGCAGAGGUGCGGCAGUGUGGGGACCACGUGCACAGGCAGAUCGAAAAUUAUACAAGCAAGCAAUACAGGAAAUUAUUCUAAAUUAUAACAAUUUGACGGUAAAAGAAGAGUCAGUUGACGAUUUCCUUAUAGAGAGUAAUAACAAUGGAGAAUUGUGCAUUAAAGCUGUAAUAACAAGCUCAGGGGAACAUAUACUAACAGGUAAAGUCGUUUUAACCACAGGAACUUUUCUGCAAGGUGUAAUUCAUAUAGGAGAACAAACAACCCCUUCAGGGAGAAUGGGAGAUAAGCCUGCAGUAGAACUUGCAAAUACGUUGAAUAAAUAUGAUUUUAGAUCGUGGCACUUGAUCGUGGCACUAUAAAUUGGUCAAUAUUGCAAGAACAAGUGGGUGAUAAUCCACCUGUGCCGUUUUCUUAUCUCACAGAAAAAAUUAACCAACCUCAGGUCAGCUUCUUCGUAUCUAAGUGACGUUGUUGCGCCAAGAUACUGCCCAUCCAUUGAAGUUAAAGUGAAAAAAUUCGCAGAAAAAAGUAGCCACCAAAUAUUUUUAGAACCAGAAGGCCUGGAUGAUGAUACUGUAUACCCGAACGGAAUUUCAAAUUCAUUGCCCAUUGAAGUGCAGCGUGAAAUGAUAAAGAGUAUCAAGGGACUUGAAAAUGCAGAAAUACUAAGACCUGGAUAUGCAGUUGAGUAUGACUAUAUUGACCCACGAGAGCUGUUUCAUACUCUUGAAACCAAGAAAGUCAAAGGCCUAUAUUUUGCUGGCCAAAUUAAUGGCACCACUGGAUAUGAAGAAGCAGCAGGGCAAGGAAUUAUCGCCGGAAUUAAUGCAGCACUCUCUGCAUUUGAAAAAAAAGAAAGCUUUGUUCUCCAUCGUACAGAUUCGUAUAUCGGUGUAAUGAUAGAUGAUCUAGUCACUAAAGGGGUGAUCGAACCUUAUAGAUUAUUUACCUCGCGUGCAGAAUAUAGGCUAGCUAUCAGGUCAGACAAUGCAGAUAGAAGAUUAACACAAAAAGGUUAUGAUAUUUCCCUUGUUUCGCAUGAGAGAUACUCUGUUUUACAGAAUAAACUUGAAUCCAUUAAGCAGCUUGAAGAGAAGUUAGGGAGUCUGACGAUUACUCCUGAGCAGCUUAGGUCUUAUGGUAUCAAAAUAUCUUAUGAUGGGAUAAGAAAAACGGCACUAGAUUUACUUAGCUAUCCAAACAUCGACUGGAAUAAAUUACAAGAAAUAUGGCCGGAGUUAAGCAGCGUCACGCGCUGGAAUGACAAAAUGGGACACACCAAAGCGGAUAAUAGAGCUAAGAAUGAAAUAUGCGAAGCGGUUGAAAUUGAAGCAAAAUACAAACCUUAUCUAAUAAGACAAGAAGCGGAUAUGAAGUUUUUACGAGAGGAAAUUAACACUCAAAUUCCAAUUGAUUUCAACUAUUCACAAGUUAAAGGCCUGUCAAGUGAAGUAAUAGAAAAGUUGCAGACGAUAAAACCAGCGACGAUUGGCAUUGCAAAGCAAAUACAAGGCAUCACUCCCGCAGCGAUAGUGAGCAUAUUAGUGUAUUUGAGAAACAGGAAAACGAAAGUGGCUGCUAAUUUUGUAUGAGGUGUUCUAUGUCAAAAAUCGAAGAAUUUCGUUCUUUUAUGCACGAGAUAAACGUUGAUGCAUUUAUGUUGCAUACUAAAGAUGAAUAUUUAAAUGAGUAUUCAGAGGAGCUAACAAAGCUGUGUGGCUUUACAGGAACAAAUGGGCUACUUAUCGUUACAAAAGACAACAAGUGCCCAUUUUUUACGGAUGGACGCUAUAUCACACAAGCUCGCAAUCAGCUCGAUCGGGGCAAUUUUCAAGUAUAUAAUAUACAAGAAGAGGAUCCACGCGAAUGGAUAAAAGCAAACUUAACAUCGACUGCCUCACUAGGUUAUUAUUUGCAAUAUUUUACCAUAGAAGAUAUAAGAAAGUAUGAGAAUAUCUGUAAAUUAAUACCCUGUUUAGCUGGAAAAAAAAGUGACUAUCGAAAACAAGCAGUGGUUUUACAUUCUAUUGAACAUGCUGGUGAAAGUAGUAAGGACAAAUGUGAAAAAGUCGCUAAAAGUAUAGAUAAAGAAGCUGAAGCAGUGCUUUUAACUGAUCCAAAUUCAAUUUCAUGGUUAUUAAAUUUAAGAAACGAAAAUGCUAAAUAUACUCCAUGUAUAUUGGGUCGUGCUAUAUUGUAUAAAAGCGGUAAUGUUGAUUUGUUUAUUCAAGAUAAAGAACAUUCAACUAUAGAAGCAAAUUUAGGCAAUCAUAUAAAUAUUUUUGAUAUUAGUGAGCUAGAAAAUUCGCUGCACAAGCUAAAUUCAAUAGUCAUGGAUCCAAGCACAACUCCAAUGAGUAUCAUGGCUGUAAUAAAAGAUAAACAGGUAGCUGAGAGAGAAGAUCCUUGUCUAAUUUAUAAAGCAGCAAAAAACCAAACUGAAAUAGCUGGGGCUAUAAAUGCGCAUAUCAGAGAUGGAGUGGCAGUUACAAAUUUUCUAUAUUGGCUUGAAAAUAAUGUUGGUACAGAACUUGAAGCUGAAGAAAAGAUUUUAGAAUACAGAAAAGAGCAGAAUUUGUUUAAGCAACUAAGUUUUCCAACAAUUUCAGCAUUUAAUGAGAAUGGAGCAAUAAUUCACUAUCGUGCAAGCAGUAAGACGAAUAAAGUAAUUCAGAAAGAUGGACUGUAUUUGAUUGACUCUGGUGGCCAGUACCUUGACGGCACAACUGAUGUGACAAAAACUGUAGCAAUUGGCAAUCCAACUGAUGAACAAAUAACCCACUAUACAAUAGUACUCAAAGCUCACAUUGCUAUAGCAAGUGUCAUCUUUCCUCCUGGCACUACUGGUGGAGAAUUGGAUAUAUUAGCACGUACGCAUUUAUGGAAAUUUGGAAUGGACUAUAUGCAUGGUACAGGGCAUGGAGUAGGAAGUUACCUAUCAGUACACGAAGGACCACAAGCAAUAUCAAAGGGAAAUAAAGUGAAACUCACGCCAGGCAUGAUACUAUCCAACGAACCUGGCUAUUACAUUCCGGGAGAGUAUGGAAUAAGGAUUGAAAAUCUGAUGUAUGUUGAUAAACAUAAAAAUGGUUUCUUGGGAUUUAAACAACUAACCUCUAUUCCAUAUGAUAGAAGGCUAAUAAGUGUGCAAAUGCUUACUAAGGAUGAAAUUGAAUGGAUAAAUGGCUACCAUCAAUUUGUCUAUAAAAACUUAGAAAAUAGCGUCAAAGAUAAGGAGUGGUUAAAGAAAGUAUGUGACCCUUUAUAAGCAAAGGAGCAUUUUUUAUUAUUUAAAAAGUAUUAAUGCAAUUGUGACAGGUAGGUUAUAAUUAUGAUAGACAAAGGGCAAGGAGAUGAAUUUAUGAAGCAGUAUAUGGAUACUUGCAAAGAGCAAAUAGAAAAAUUAGCCAAGGAUCCUGAAUUGCUUAAUCAGGCUUUAAAACCAUUUAUGCAAAUGUCUCAGCAGCUUAUGGCUGGCGGUAUGUUAGAAGGGGCUAUGCCUGGCAUGAUACCUGAUUUGGGCAGUAUGGAUGUUAACAAGAUGAUUGCUCAGAUGAAGGAAAUGAUUGACUACAUAAGAGGUAACUAUAAGGAACUAAUGAAAGAGCGCAGCUCGCAGAUUCAAGAGCUUAAUGAAUCCAGUAAAAAGCUAAGAGGCUUAGUUAAAAAAUUGAUAGAAAAGAUCGAAAGUAAAUAAAUAACAUCUGGAUUUCUGUCAUUCUAUAUACAACUUUCUAGUUGGACGGUAAGUCGAGGUCAAUUAUUGAUGUCAUGAAAGUAGCUGACACUGGUUCCUUUAUGACGGCAGUGCCCAGAGGUGUCAUCCCAGUGCUUGACACUGGGAUCCAGUUCUUAUUACCUGGUGUAAAGUUAAGUUUCCUGGAUUCCAGUGUCAAGCACUGGAAUGACAGCAAUCCUACGUCAUACCGCGAUUCAUUCGCGGUAUCUUAGUAUAGAUUCCGCUAACAAGUAGCGGAAUGACGGUUUUUCAAAUCGUCGAUGAACCUAAGUCACUUUAGCUAUAGUAUCGGGAACGUAAUUGCACAUUGGUUUUACAAAUUUGAAAAUUAGUGUUAGAUAAAAAUAUAAACGCAAAAGGAAAAAAAAUGAUUGAACUUAGAGGUCCAGAAAUUUGUGCAGGCGGAAAUAAGAAAAAUUUGAUUGUUUUUUUACAUGGUUGGGGCUCAAGUGGCGAUAAUUUCAUUCACCUUGCUAAAGUUAUGAGCAAGUUUUUACUGGGUUCAUAUUUUGCAGUACCCAAUGCUCCGUUUGAAAGAGAAAUAGGUGAUGGUUAUCAGUGGUUCAGCUUGGAAGAUCGUAGUGAGGAAGCGCUAUAUAAUGGAGUAAAAAAUGCUACAUCAAUUGUAAAUCAUUUCAUUGAUACAAAAUUAAAGGAGCUUAAUUUAAAAGAUACGCAACUUUCUUUAGUUGGAUUUUCUCAAGGAGCAAUGCUUGCAAUACAUACAGCUCUCACCCGCUCUCAAUCCUGUGCAUCAGUUGUUGCAUACUCUGGUAGAUUUCUUUCACCUUCAAAAACUGCACCAGAGAUCAAGUCAAAACCUAACAUAUGUGUUAUCCAUGGUGAUGCUGACGACGUGGUACCUUUUUCGUCCCUCGACUUAGCGGUUAAAGCUCUGAAAGAAAAUGGAGUAAAUGUUGAAGGACACCCAAUUCAUGCAUUAGGGCAUAUUAUUAAUGAAGAGGGAAUAAAAUUAGGAGUAGAAUUUAUCAAGAAGAAUUUUAAAAAUUAAUUUUCAUGCACUUGUUUUGCUUUGGUUAUGGAUAUGUAGCUAAAUUUUUAUCGAAAAAAUUACUGAACUUAGGUUGGAAAGUCAGUGGCACAUCAAGAAGUAAAAAUAUACAAGAUGUAAUCCUCUUUAAUUAUGAGAAAGUUAGUCAAGAUCUGCUUAAAAGCGCAACGCACGUUUUAAUUUCUAUUCCUCCAGAUGGCGAUGAUGUUGUGGAGAGAUACGGUGAUUGUCUGCAAAAUGUAAAAUGGCUUGGUUAUUUGUCUGCAACUAGCGUCUAUGGUGAUCACUCUGGUAAUUGGGUGGAUGAGGAAUCUGAAACAAGACCUAUAGAAAUCAGAGGAGAAAAGCGCCUUAAAUCUGAAAAGAAGUGGCUAAAUAGCAAACUGCCUGUACAUAUUUUUCGUUUAGCUGGAAUAUACGGUCCUGGUAGGAACGUGUUAAUUGACUUGCAGCUUGGCAAAGCAAGAAAUGUGAAAAAAGAAGGGCAUUUUUUUUCUCGUAUUCACGUUGAAGAUAUAUCGAAUAUUUUAUUUUCUUCCAUGCAAAACAUAAAACCUGGUGAAAUAUACAAUUGUGCAGACGAUUUACCCACUACACAAUCUGAAGUGGUAAUAUAUGCGACCAAACUUCUCAAUGUUAGCCCUCCAGAACCAAUUGAGUUACCAGAUUAUGCACAGAGUUUUUAUUUAGGAUCAAAGAGAGUAAGUAAUGUUAAAAUUAAAAAAGAUCUUAAUGUCUCUCUAAUUUAUCCUAACUACAAGGUGGGAUUAGAGAGUUUGCACGUAAACAAAACUGAAAUCACAUCAGAAUGAUAGAUAGGCUUAUUGUCACUGCCAUUAAGUUAAGGAAAGAAUGGUUAAAAACUGAACUAAAAAGUCAGAAAUAAGUAUCCGUUCAGCGGAGUGGCAGAAUAAGGUAGACAAGGUGAUCUAAAAAGAUAAUCAUAGAGCAAAAGUGAAA